rnacentral:lncRNA from 1 species
GGGGCUAGAAACGACGUAGUAUUACGAGUAUCGGACGACGUCGUUUCUUCACAUCGUCGCCGGUGCCAUGUCAGCUUUCAGAUGACUUAAAUGGUGCCAAGUCAGCACUCAAAUUGGGGGUAAUUCAAAAUCAUGGCAAAAUUGUUCACGCCCUUAAGUUCAUGGAAAAUUUGAUAUAAAAAAAAAGUUCAUGGAAAAUUUGGAAAUGGGCCCAAAGUUCAUGAUUUUUGGCGUAAUUAACCCUAAGAAAAAUAGAACGCGGGCAUGUUGCGAAAAGCGUGCCUACAUAUGAUUUAUGUCGGGUUUAUUAGCAAGUUAAGGUUUGUCAGUAGAGUUGUCUGAUUGGUUAUCGGGUUUUGAAUAAUCCAUUAAUCGAAUCGAAAUUUUUGGGUUCGAGUAUUCAAUAACCGAAAUUAGAUUGAUUAUCACUUUUAAAAGUCUAGGCAU